rnacentral:rRNA from 1 species
CUGGCGGCAUGCUUUACACAUGCAAGUCAANCGGGGUGAGGGGGCAGCUCCUCAUUCAGUGGCGAACGGGUGAGUAAUGCAUCGGAACGUGUCCCGUAGUGGGGGAUAACGCCGCGAAAGCGGCGCUAAUACCGCAUACGCCCUGUGGAGGAAAGCAGGGGACCCGCGAGGGCCUUGUGCUAGGGGGGCGGCCGAUGUCCGAUUAGCUAGUUAGUGGGGUAAUGGCUUACCAAGGCGACGAUCGGUAGCUGGUCUGAGAGGAUGAUCAGCCACACUGGGACUGAGACACGGCCCAGACUCCUACGGGAGGCAGCAGUGGGGAAUUUUGGACAAUGGGGGCAACCCUGAUCCAGCCAUGCCGCGUGCGGGAAGAAGGCCUUCGGGUUGUAAACCGCUUUUAGCCGGGAAGAAAAGGAUACGGAUAACACCCGUAUUUUUUGACGGUACCGGCGGAAUAAGCACCGGCUAACUACGUGCCAGCAGCCGCGGUAAUACGUAGGGUGCGAGCGUUAAUCGGAAUUACUGGGCGUAAAGCGUGCGCAGGCGGUUCGUUGUGUCGGCGGUGAAAGCCCCGGGCUCAACCUGGGAAUGGCCGUUGAAACUGGCGAACUGGAGUG